AUUGAACGCUGGCGGAAUGCUUUACACAUGCAAGUCGAACGGCAGCACGGACUUCGGUCUGGUGGCGAGUGGCGAACGGGUGAGUAAUGUAUCGGAACGUGCCCAGUCGUGGGGGAAAACUAAGUGAAAUUUACGCUAAUACCGCAUAGAAUCUAUGGAUGAAAGGGGGGGAUCGAAAAACUCCGCGCGAUUGGAUCGGCGGAUAUCAGAUUAGGUAGUUGGUGGGGUAAAGGCCCACCAAGCCAACGAUCUGUAGCUGGUCUGAGAGGACGACCAGCCACACUGGAACUGAGACACGGUCCAGACUCCUACGGGAGGCAGCAGUGGGGAAUUUUGGACAAUGGGCGAAAGCCUGAUCCAGCCAUUCCGCGUGCAGGAUGAAGGCCCUCGGGUUGUAAACUGCUUUUGUACAGAACGAAAAGGUUUCUACUAAUACUAGGAGCUCAUGACGGUACUGUAAGAAUAAGCACCGGCUAACUACGUGCCAGCCGCCGCCGUAA
rnacentral:rRNA from 1 species